GGGGGGAAAAUAGAAAACAAAUUUUUUUAUUCCCAUGCCACUAUUAAGCUAUUACUUAGCUUCAUGAACAAUAAGUUAGUAAUAUUCAUAUUUAUUUGUACUACAACUGUCCUUAAUUAGUACAAUUUCUUAAAUUUGGAGUAGUUAUUGAUUUAUUGUCGUCUCUAAAGCAGCUUCAAAAACUAAACUGUGUAGAUAGUUGUGUUUGUAUCCUCGAGAAGAUGAAGUUUGUAACACAAAUCAAGCUUAUCAUCAGUUGACUUUUCUAUACUGUUAAAUGAAGUUACAAUUGAUGGCAACAAUGCACAAACAUAAAAAGAAAAAGAAAUUAGAAUUGCAAAUUGGAGCAAGUUUUUUACCUUAUAAAUAAUGAAAUUAAAUGCUCAAAUAAUCACUUCUACCACUUCAAAGAAAUUGCAUUUCCAAUCUUGAAACAAUGUUCUAGAAUCAAGGGAGUAUAUAUCAAUUGAGACAAUUUGUAGUUGCGAGUUGGUUCUUCAAUAACUAAAACAGAUUUCCAACAACAGAGUAGCAAUAAGAUGAAUAUGGAAGAAUGAGAGACUUAAAGAUUAGAUUUUUGUCACACUACUUCAAACUUCCUACCCUUGUAAAAAAAAGAGAGUCCCUCUUAAUUCCAUACUUCCUAAACUGCAAAUAAAGUGAACUUCUUACCAUCCAAAUAAAAAAUUUUAGACACAAUAUUUUAUUUUUUUUAUGACAAGGGAAAUUCGCGAUCGCUAUCCUUUGGGUACGCACAGGGUAAAACUCUGCUCCUAUGGAAUAGCUUAGAAACAUAUGGAUAUGAAAAUAAUUCAAGUGCAAGCUGAUGGGGAUAAAACUUCGUCUCUUCCUUUUUUCUGCGUUAAAUUGAAAGAUAAUCCAAAAAGCUAAUUCAGUUCUUUAUAAACUUAAUGGUCUUAAAAUCGAGUAAUGUAUCAUAAUCUAAUUUGUCGGGUCCGUGCUCAGUUUUCCUACCUUUAGUACCAAAUCUCCAUAAGCAACCAUAUAUUAUAUUGAAGUUUGGUUCGUUUUAUUUUUUUGUGAUUGAUUUGUUUUUUGCUUUUCGAAAAAGGGCAAAAAAAUAUUCUUGAACUAUAGGAAAAAGUGUAAAAAUACCCUUAUCUUUUGGUCUAAAAAUACUCUUCUAUUAAUCUUUUGAUCUAAAAAUACUCUUCCAUUCAUAUUUUGGCUCAUUUAUACCUUUGAAGCUAACAAUCCUCUCUUUAUUUUAUUUUUAAAAAAUUAUUUAUUAUGUGCCAUUUUCUUAUUGGAGGUAAUAUAACCCACUUCUACUAGAUUUUUUCUACUCUUCAAGACCCAAAAAAUAAUAAUUAAUAAAUCUAGUGUUUUUUUUUUUAUAUUUGCUAUAAUUUUUUAAAGUUUGUUUUGUGGUCACGAAGAAGAAUAUUAUUUUGACUUGGAUAAAUUAUGAGGAAAAAAUUAAAAGAUAUUUUGAAAAAACUAAUUGUUUUAUGUAUUUGUUGUAGCUUAUUUUUUUUGGAAGACAUGAAGCAGGUAUAUUAUUUUGAAUUGGAUCAAUUAUGGAGAAAAAUAUACAAAGAAUUUUUUAAAAAUAUCUAAAGUUACAACAAAACAUAUUUCGAUAAUUUCAAAAAUAUUGCUGCACAUACUUAUAUUCCAUUUAGACAAAAAGAAAAUCAAUCUUGUAAGAAUCAAAGUAAUUUUUUUAAUACCGUAUUAGCUUUCUUUAAUUUUCAUUUCAUGAAAUUUGAAUAGUUUUCUUUAUUUUUACCAUAACAUUAAUUUACAGAAAGGAAGGUGCAAAAAAAAAAAAAAAUUACUUAAAAAGUUUUUAUAGAUUUUUCUCAUAAUUUAUUUAAACCAAAAUAAUAUAUCUUCUUCAUGACCUUAAAAAAUUAAAAAGAAAAAGCUAUAGCAAAUAAAAAAAUUACUAGUUUUUUUGAAUUUUUUAAAUUAUGGGAAAAAAUCUAAUAGAGAUGGGGAAUUUAUUUCAUCUAAUAAGAAAAUGAAACAUAAUAACAUUUAAAAAAAGAAAAAAAAAGAAAGGGUUGCUAGUUUCAAGGUAUGAGCGAGCCAAAAAGGUGAAUGAAAUGAUAUUUUUAGACAAAAAAGAUGAUUAGAAAGAUAUUUUUGUGGAUGAAGGGUUUUUUAGACCUUUUCGCAUAGUUCAGGGUAUUUUGGUCCUAUUCCGUUUGUUUUUUAAUGGGUCUUUGAAUAUUCAUUAUGUCAUUUAGGAUUCUUCUCAGAUAUCAAACUACAUCAACUCAUAAUUGAAGCCCACAAGAAAAUCAAGAAAAAUAACAUAUGAAAAUUAGAAUUUCAUGAAUCAAAUCUAAAAAAGAAAUUGAAGAGGAAUUCAGAAGGACAACAAAAAAUUACCUCAAAGUUGCAGCGUACUUGGAGAAGAUUGAAGAUGAAAAUGAGUAUUGGGAGAAGCUUGAAGACGAACAAUUGUGGAAAACAAAAUAUCUAUGAACAAUAAAAAACAAAGGGUGAUUUUGAAAUUUGAGUUCACUUGAGUAUCCAAAAUUCAGAAUCAAAUUUCGCAUUGAAGAACAAAAAAAACACUCUCAUAUCUCCUUUUCCCCUUUACUUAUUACAACAAAAAGUACCGGAUAGAAAUUGAUUAAAAUUCAAAAACAAGAAAAGAGGAAAGGAAAAGGAAGUGCAUAGCCACGUGUUACAAUGUGGUGGCAAUCAAAAUCAGAUGGCACAAUAUUGAGAACUGAGCAGUUAAUGAAAAUGACGAUAAUAUCCUUUCUAAAUUGAAAUUUGA
rnacentral:lncRNA from 1 species